AACGAACGCUGGCGGCAGGCCUCAUACAUGCAAGUCGAGCGCGCCUUCGGGCGAGCGGCGGACGGGUGAGUAACGCGUGGGAACGUGCCCUCUUCUGGGGAAUAGCCACUGGAAACGGUGAUUAAUGCCCCAUACGCCCUUCGGGGGAAAGAUUUAUCGGAGGAGGAUCGGCCCGCGUCUGAUUAGGUAGUUGGUGGGGUAAUGGCCCACCAAGCCGACGAUCAGUAGCUGGUUUGAGAGGAUGAUCAGCCACACUGGGACUGAGACACGGCCCAGACUCCUACGGGAGGCAGCAGUAGGGAAUCUUGGACAAUGGGGGAAACCCUGAUCCAGCCAUGCCGCGUGAGUGACGAAGGCCCUAGGGUCGUAAAGCUCUUUCGCCGGUGAAGAUAAUGACGGUAACCGGUAAAGAAACCCCGGCUAACUCCGUGCCAGCCGCCGCCGUAACAC
rnacentral:rRNA from 1 species